rnacentral:rRNA from 1 species
AUUGAACGCUGGCGGCAUGCCUUACACAUGCAAGUCGAACGGCAGCGGGGGAGAAGCUUGCUUCUCCUGCCGGCGAGUGGCGAACGGGUGAGUAAUACAUCGGAACGUGCCCUGUAGUGGGGGAUAACUAGUCGAAAGAUUAGCUAAUACCGCAUACGACCCGAGGGUGAAAGUGGGGGACCGCAAGGCCUCAUGCUAUAGGAGCUGCCGAUGUCUGAUUAGCUAGUUGGUGGGGUAAAGGCCUACCAAGGCGACGAUCAGUAGCUGGUCUGAGAGGACGAUCAGCCACACUGGGACUGAGACACGGCCCAGACUCCUACGGGAGGCAGCAGUGGGGAAUUUUGGACAAUGGGCGAAAGCCUGAUCCAGCAAUGCCGCGUGUGUGAAGAAGGCCUUCGGGUUGUAAAGCACUUUUGUCCGGAAAGAAAUGGCUCUGGUUAAUACCUGGGGUCGAUGACGGUACCGGAAGAAUAAGGACCGGCUAACUACGUGCCAGCCGCCGCAGUAA